rnacentral:lncRNA from 1 species
GGGGGCUAUAUUAUUAUAGGAGGUCGAUGAAAGUGAAUAUGCUCAUUUUUCAAACAAAUUGAUGUCACGAAUCUAUUCCGUGGAAAUCCGUUAAAGGGCUUAACUUGAGGUCAACCAUAUCAUUGAAGAAGUUGAGUAUUUUUUUUUUUUUUUUUUUUUAUCAAAGUAAAGGCCAACACCAAAAUGAUUCUCGACACAUUAAAAGAAUGCAAAUAAUUUUAAAUUAGGGUGAAUUUUAAAAAUUACC